CCUACGGGAGGCUGCAGUGAGGAAUAUUGGUCAAUGGACGAGAGUCUGAACCAGCCAAGUAGCGUGAAGGAUGACUGCCCUAUGGGUUGUAAACUUCUUUUAUAUGGGAAUAAAAUGUUCCACGUGUGGGAUUUUGUAUGUACCAUAUGAAUAAGGAUCGGCUAAAUCCGUGCCAGCAGCCGCGGUAAGACGGAGGAUCCGAGCGUUAUCCGGAUUUAUUGGGUUUAAAGGGAGCGUAGGUGGAUUGUUAAGUCAGUUGUGAAAGUUUGCGGCUCAACCGUAAAAUUGCAGUUGAAACUGGCAGUCUUGAGUACAGUAGAGGUGGGCGGAAUUCGUGGUGUAGCGGUGAAAUGCUUAGAUAUCACGAAGAACUCCGAUUGCGAAGGCAGUUCACUGGACUGCAACUGACACUGAGGCUCGAAAGUGUGGGUAUCAAACAGGAUUAGAUACCCCUGUAGUC
rnacentral:rRNA from 1 species